CUCUGUGACUCCUACGGGAGGCAGCAGUGGGGAAUAUUGCACAAUGGGCGCAAGCCUGAUGCAGCAACGCCGUGUGAGUGAAGAAGGUUUUCGGAUCGUAAAACUCUGUCCUAAGGGAAGAAACAAAUGACGGUACCUUAGGAGGAAGCCCCGGCUAACUACGUGCCAGCAGCCGCGGUAAUACGUAGGGGGCAAGCGUUAUCCGGAAUCACUGGGCGUAAAGGGUGCGUAGGCGGCUUAGCAAGCCAGGGGUGAAAGGCAUUGGCUCAACCAAUGUAAGCCUUUGGAACUGUUAAGCUUGAGUGCAGGAGAGGUAAGUGGAAUUCCUAGUGUAGAGGUGAAAAUUCGUAGAUAUUAGGAGGAACACCAGUGGCGAAGGCGACUUACUGGACUGUAACUGACGCUGAUGCACGAAAGCGUGGGUAGCGAACAGGAUUAGAUACCCUGGAG
rnacentral:rRNA from 1 species